UACGUAGGUGGCAAGCGAUACUCGGAAUCACUAGGCGUAAAGCGCAGGUAGGCGGUUCAGUAAGUCUUUUGUGAAAGCUCCCGGCUCAACUGGGAGAGGCCAAGGGAAACUACUGGACUAGAGUGUGGUAGGGAUACUGGAAGUUCCUGGGUGUAGCGGUGAAAUGCGCAGAGUAUCAGGAGGAACACCAGUGGCGAAGGCGG
rnacentral:rRNA from 1 species